rnacentral:misc_RNA from 1 species
ACGAAAACUUGCGAACACGUUCGAAAAUCUGCGUCGGGCGUCGGGGUAAAACCUGCGCCCCUCGCCACCUGCCCGGCCGAACGGCGACCCAACCGGUCUUUCGGUCGUGUCGGGCAACCGAAACAAAAACCGGCGCGGGAAGCGCCAAGGACUUUACGAAAUGGGAUGCCUUCCUGUGGAGAGGGGCCGUUCGCGGAUUCCUCGCCACGGGGCUUGARAGGCCCCCCCACCCUCGCCCCGAAAGGGUCGUGGGCAGAGCGGGGGGCGGAAGUUGGCUUCCCGUGCCUAGUCGCGGCCAGCCUAAAAAAUGGUUCCCUCGCCGCGGACGUCGCGACAAGUGGUGGUCGUCGAGAUUGAACGCGAGUCGCCGACAAGCCGCGUCGAGGAGAGCGCUUGGACCCUGUGCAUGUGAGUCCCUCGCCGAGGGACGACCGGCACGACCAGCGACCCCAG